UAGUCGGAGGUGUGUCUCGGACGGUCGGUUCGCUGCUUGUCGGUGUUCAACUGGCCGGUCCGGACGUCCUGCCGGUGGGGCUGUAAAAGGCUCCGUUAUCCUUCUUUGGUCCUCUUCAUUGAGUGCCUUGGUGGGCCGGCACGUUUACUUUGAACAAAUUAGAGUGCUCAAAGCAGGCCGUUGGUCGCCUGAAUACUGUGUGCAUGGAAUAAUGGAAUAGGACCUCGGUUCCAUUUUGUUGGUUUUCAGAACUCGAGGUAAUGAUUAAUAGGGACGGACGGGGGCAUUCGUAUUGCGACGUUAGAGGUGAAAUUCUUGGAUCGUCGCAAGACGAACCGAUGCGAAAGCAUUUGCCAAGAACGUUUUCGUUGAUCAAGAACGAAAGUUAGAGGUUCGAAGGCGAUCAGAUACCGCCCUAGUUCUAACCAUAAACGAUGCCAGCUAGCCAUCCGCCGAAGUUCCUUAUAUGACUCGGCGGGCAGCUUCCGGGAAACCAAAGCUCUUGGGUUCCGGGGGAAGUAU
rnacentral:rRNA from 1 species